rnacentral:lncRNA from 1 species
CUUGGCUAUGGAACUACUCCUUGGCCUAUCCUUACUUUUUCUUGUCAGUUCAACUUGAUAUGAAAAUUUAGUAUCUCUUUUAAAAUUCAAAUGAUCAUGACAUAAUAAUUGGCUGUAGAGCAGAUAAGUAAGAAAUAAUAAAUAAAUCUCCCCAGAUAAGAGAAGAAUGAUGAUCAAAUCUCAUCUGAUAAGUCAAGGCUAACCGUCUGAUUCUCCUUCCUCCUUAAGACG